rnacentral:misc_RNA from 1 species
UUUCCGUAGGUGAACCUGCGGAAGGAUCAUUAAAAAUGAAGCCGGGAAACCGGUCCUUCUAACCCUUGAUUAUCUUGAUUUGUUGCUUUGGUGGGCCGCGCAAGCACCGGCUUCGGCUGGAUCGUGCCCGCCAGAGGACACAACUCUGUAUCAAAUGUCGUCUGAGUACUAUAAAAUAGUUAAAACUUUCAACAACGGAUCUCUUGGUUCUG